GAUGAAGAACGCAGCGAAAUGCGAUAAGUAUUGUGAAUUGCAGAAUUCAGUGAAUCAUCGAAUCUUUGAACGCACAUUGCGCCCCCUGGUAUUCCGGGGGGCAUGCCUGUCCGAGCGUCAUUACAACCCUCAAGCUCAGCUUGGUGUUGGGCCCCGCCGCCCCGGCGGGCCCUAAAGUCAGUGGCGGUGCCGUCCGGCUCCGAGCGUAGUAAUUCUUCUCGCUCUGGAGGUCCGGUCGUGUGCUCGCCAGCAACCCCCAAUUUUUUUCAGGUUGACCUCGGAUCAGGUAGGGAUACCCGCUGAACUUAAGCAUAUCAAUAAGCGGAGGA
rnacentral:misc_RNA from 1 species